rnacentral:rRNA from 1 species
UACAGAGGGUGCGAGCGUUAAUCGGAAUUACUGGGCGUAAAGGGUGCGUAGGCGGAUGUUUAAGUUAGAUGUGAAAUCCCCGGGCUUAACCUGGGAAUUGCAUUUAAUACUGAAUGACUAGAGUAGAGUAGAGGGAAGUGGAAUUUCCGGUGUAGCGGUGAAAUGCGUAGAUAUCGGAAAGAACAUCAGUGGCGAAGGCGGCUUCCUGGACUCAUACUGACGCUGAGGCACGAAAGCAUGGGGAGCAAACAGG